rnacentral:lncRNA from 1 species
UUUGCAUGUGAUAUUUCUGCUGGCUGAUCCAAAAAGAAGAGAAUAUAUGUCCAUUUGCAUGUGAUAUUUCUGGUCUUAUGAGAUAAUUCGCAUUCAGAAAUGGGUAUAUAAUAUGUUGCCUUGGCAUGGAAUAUAUGAAGAAAACAAGAACCAGCGCAGUCAAGUUGUGGACAACAGUAAAGUUACUGGUAAAAGACAGCAGUCAAUGUCAUUAUUACCUUAACGUGAGGAGAGAGGAGUCUUAGCGUUGCAGACAAAAAUC